UUUUGAUUGAACUAUGUUGUAAUUUAUACAAAAGUAAGGAGGAUUGAAGUCAUCACUUUAUUAUUUUCGAAAUUCUUUGAAAAAUACUGAUAGUCAUUGUUGUCAGUUUUUACUAAUUUUUGUGGGAAACUAUAGAAAAAGAAUUUUUAUCUAUGAAAUUAUUAUACAUAUGAAUCUCGUUUCUCUCGAUUGUAAUUCUAAAAUAUCGCUCUCUUUAAUCAGUUUGUUAUUUCAUUCGCAAAGACAUUUUUAUAAUAAAAAGAUACCAAGAGUACUUUUAUUUUAUGUAUUUGUUCUAUAUUAUUUUAGUAACAUUUUUUCACAUAUGAAACUUCUUAACAUGUCAUCUUCUCAUCAAAAUCAGAAAUAGCUAGCAAAAUAAAAUUCCUGUAUUCUAUUAUUGAUUGAAGCGAGAGACGUAAGAAAGUUUUGAGUUUUUAUAAGAAAUAGUACUAUCUUUGCUGAUCAUCGUACCUAGAAUAAAUUGUGGAUACUUGGUCAAAAAUGUGACGGAGAGUAUCUCGUUCAAGAAUAGCUUCAAGAUCAGAAGUUCAACUUCCUGAAGUAAAUUGAUUUCACCGUAAAAGUCCAUAAUGAAUUUCUUAAACACAAGAUCACAAGGACGUCAAAGUACGCUUUACUUUUUCUACCAUUUCGAAUGGCACUUCUCUGGAUUCAUGGCACGCUCAGCUUAAAAUAGGACACGAUUUUGUCGAAGAUGGCACACUUCCUGCCUCGCCUUUUUCUUUUACGAAGACGCUCGCUGUUUAAAGACUGUAUUUGCGUUACGUAGCUUAUUAUCUCAGCUCAGAGGUUGACUAAUGUAAAUUAAUGAAGGCGGAACUGAGCUGUAGUUGAAUCUUAAAAGAGUAAGCUAUCUUUUCGCUACUUUCUGGCUGAUACGUUGAAAACUUGUGUUACGUUAUCUGGAAAAUUUGAAUCUUCAAGUACCAACCUACUUUUAAUUAAAAAAGGGAAAGAUCCUAUUUAAAUAAUACCUGUGUUUAACUUCAAAGAACUAUAAUUUAUUUAAUAUAUAUUCUGCAUGAUGACUUGAGGUUCUGCAUUUCAGUCUUUUUGUUUAAUUUAUUCUCAUAAUUGCUUACAAUUUCAUUUUAUCCUACGUAUGUAUAUAUAAGUAUAUAUAAUGAAUUCAGUUGAAGUAAUUGAUUAAAAAUUCUUGACAAGAAAGAUUUGAUACAACUCUCCACAAUCAUUUAUAUAAAGUAGCCUUGAGAACUAAUAUUUAUUAUCCUACAUCGAGGUCUACACUUUCAUUCAAGGAAGUAUAUGGAUCCUUGUCUCUCUUUGAUAAGAUUAUUUACAAAUUAUGGAUACAUAACUACAAUGAUUUCAUCCUGUAUAAUCAUUAUAAAAUUAUAUCCUUUAUAAUCACUAUUGGUUGAGUUGAUUUUUAAAAAUCAAUAUAUAAUAAAAUCAAUAUAAUAACAAAACUAGCACCUUUUCUUUCGACAAACAUCGCGAUUCAUAAAACCUUCUCUCCAACUCAUCUCUAAUCAAUUUUAUCUUAAAAUAAUUCUGUAUGAGAAUCAAUUUCUAAGAAGAAGGAAGAAGGACAUUUUUUACUUCUUCUUGGAAAUAAGUAAAAGUACAAUAAAAGAAUUCUAGCGAUUAUCGUUCUGGAACAACUUAUCGCUGCCAUAACGUUGAUCAACGUUGAACAAAGCUAGGACAGAUAUAGCAGUCACCGUCAUCUUCGCAGACCAUUCAUAGUCUUGAAUGACCAAUUUCAAGACGAGGUACAUAUUCAGACCGCGUGUGCUCGCCUCGAAAGGCUUGCGUUGUGUUUCAUUGACGUUCGUUCUAGCCUUGUUAGCGGUUCAACAAUGUAAAUCAAUCGGAAAAUAAGGCAAUUUACUCUGGCGCAAGGAAUUAAUAAGCAAUUAGAUGCGGUCUUAAGGCCGCGAGCGGUGUUCAACGAUUUCCAGAGAGUCGACCGACAUGUUAAAUUACGCUUUUUUCUGCUUGUAUAAGCAUUACUGGCGGCUACUAAUUACGUGAAGUCUACAUGGUGAAAAAGUGAAAGAGAAAGAGGAAGAAAGAGAAAAGCGGAUCGAGCAAAAUCUUCGUUGAUGCCGUUUACACGUGCCGGAUCGCGUACCACUGCGUGCUCGGAAGUCAUCGUGCACCGUGACUUCUUAUCCGGGAUCUCGGACGAUGGUAACUGUUCAUUUGUCGACGGACAGACCGCACGACAGGGAACGUGGCCGACAAUCCAUCGACCUAGUCGCAAGAACGGCGAUAGUAACGACUUCCGGUACGUGAAAGGCAACUCUGUGGCGACUACUGUCUUACGGAUAUUUUUCGAAGCAUCCCUCUUUGUGAUGCGUAUCGAUCGUUUCGUGUGGAAUGUAUAGGUUCGUGUGAUUGGGUAAAGGAGACUCUGAUGCGGAUUUUGAGAGUGAAUUUCAAACUUGGAUACACUUAUCGUAAGGCAAACCCUUUAUACAUACCAUUGUUUGGAUAAAAAGUCGUAUGUAAUGGUAAAACUAAUAAAUAUAUGUAUAUAUAAUAAA